rnacentral:lncRNA from 10 species
CUGGCACAGACGGAGACCCGAGUGACCCCGGGGUCCGGGUGGGCGUGGGGAAUGGACCCAUAGACCCGGGACGAGCGGCGCGGAGCCCGCAGCUGGCCAGCUUCAGCCACCUUGGGAGACGCAGUGCAGCUGCCGCUGCUGACAGACAAGACCAAGGCUCGGCUGGGCCCCACCCCAGAUCCGGCCUGAGCGCCUUCCGCGCUGCUCGGCCUCAAGGCGUGAGUCACCAAGGGCAAGUCCCGUGACUUGGUCCUCAGGGUCUCCGGCCUCGGCACAUUAAUCUUCAGACCCGGCUUUUUCGACGCCGAGCUGCCGCCCAGCCCCAAUGGCAGGGCCUUCCAGGGAGUCCCAGUCAGACUGCUCCCCAGCUCCCGCAGCUGCUCGGUCCCUGCAAAGCCCCCGGGAGCGUUUCUACUCUCCCCUGAGCCCACGCCAUCCCGUCACUCCUAGGAAACUUUUCGCGCAGAAACUCCUGGAGAACAGCCCCGGCCGCCAGGUACUCGCCCGCCCGGACCGCAAAGCCCACAGAGCUUCAAUUCGCAGGAAGGGGAGUGGGGAGCCCUGAGCUGGGGUGUUCCUGGAAGAGGUCGGGGAGCGGGGGGAGAGGCAUUCCAGGCUGGAGGCCUGGAAACGUUUGGAAGCUUUGCUAACCUUGGAGACCAUGUCAGGAAAGAAGCGUACCCAGGCCGUCUGCUGUGUGCCCACCCCGAUCCCCAUCAGUGCCCCACGCACUCGAGCUCUUCUUCGGCGUCUGCAGCCUCUUCAUCCGCGCGGAGAGGCGGAGGUCUCCCGGAAACAGUGUCCGACUGUGGCACCCCAGAGCGUCCAAUGCGAGCUCAGGCCUUUCCCGCAAGUCUGGAGUUUUCUUAUCCAGUUGAGGCCGCCUUCGCUGUACUCACUCUCUGCCUCCCACCCCAUCUUCUGCCACCCGACCUCCAUCUUUGAUGGUUAGCGCCUUCAGCCCUCAACAGCUUCGCACAACCAACCCCUAGAAGCCGUGGAGUCAGACCGGCCAGGGUGGGACCUAGGUUUUAACUCGGGUUCUGGCUACACACGCUGCGCCUCCAUACAGUUUGUCCCAGGUUUGGCAGCAGGCCGGCUACCUUCAGGAAUUCUUUGCUUUGGCUUCUGUCUGUUCCUGUCUGUUGGGCAAGUUUCUAGCUACCCCACUGAGAGAACCAUAGAACAAGGACCCUGGCAUGGCAUACAGACAAGGAAUGUUUGCUGAAUUAAUGGAGCUGGUGCCUUGCAGCUUCCCUUUUGUUCCUUGAAGUUGCCCUUGCUCUCCUCCACAUCAGCUCCCUCUCCUCCUCAGCUACUUAUUCCCCACCCUGGCUUCUUCUAGUCGCAGUCCCCAAGUACUUGCUGAAUCCUGUAUGGACAGCCUAAGCCUCCAUUUCUGACAAUUCCUGUGGCCCCACUCCAUUUGUUUUUUAGACUUCUCCCUCCUUUUUGUCCCCAUCCCCCAAGUUAUAAAACUAUAAUGCAAUUCUUUGGAUUUUUCUUUAAAAAA